GAUUGUCCAACGUCAGCAAUGCUGUUAUGGACAUACUGGAAGAUUACAUCGACGGUACUGUCGACGAAGAAGACCAAGUACAAGACUCCACGCCUGACGACUCCACGACAAGCAAACCAAAUGCCAGUGCCGGCCAAUCGGGAAAACAACCUGAAUCUAAACCUGAUGAUAACCCCAACAGAGGCACAAACAAUCAAAAUAAAAAUGAAAUAACCUCUCAAUCAAGCAGAAAACAAGCUGUUAGUGAUAGUGCCAGUGAUCCUUCUGGUAAAGCACGAACCACCACACCCGGUUCUGGGAACAUAAUCUCCACUCUGUCUAACGGACAGAAACCAAAACAGACUACGGAUAUAUAUGCCAGUGAAACUACAACAGGACUUAAUGGAGACAGGCAAAAGACACGUCAAAGGUUACAGGUGGCAGCACACCCCUCUCUUCAAGAGAGGUCACCACUCAGGCUGACGUAAACGGUCCCCAACAAACAACAACAAAGUCGGCAAAUGAAGUCACGUAUCCGUCUGACAGAACAGAUCAGCCGAACCCAAAAGAGACGAACACUCCAGAAUUGAACGGUACGGUUGCUGAGGACACCACUGAGAAAAAUG